CCUACGGGAGGCAGCAGUGAGGAAUAUUGGACAAUGGGCGCAAGCCUGAUCCAGCCAUGCCGCGUGCAGGAAGAAGCAUCUAUGGUGUGUAAACUGCUUUUGUACGGGAAGAAACACUCCUACGUGUAGGAGCUUGACGGUACCGUAAGAAUAAGGAUCGGCUAACUCCGUGCCAGCAGCCGCGGUAAUACGGAGGAUCCAAGCGUUAUCCGGAAUCAUUGGGUUUAAAGGGUCCGUAGGCGGUUUAAUAAGUCAGUGGUGAAAUCUGGUCGCUUAACGAUCAAACGGCCAUUGAUACUGUUAGACUUGAAUUAUUGUGAAGUAACUAGAAUAUGUAGUGUAGCGGUGAAAUGCUUAGAUAUUACAUGGAAUACCAAUUGCGAAGGCAGGUUACUAACAAUAUAUUGACGCUGAUGGACGAAAGCGUGGGGAGCGAACAGGAUUAGAUACCCUGGUAGUCCACGCCGUAAACGAUGGAUACUAGCUGUUGGGCGCAAGUUCAGUGGCUAAGCGAAAGUGAUAAGUAUCCCACCUGGGGAGUACGUUCGCAAGAAUGAAACUUAAAGGAAUUGACGG
rnacentral:rRNA from 1 species